ACUUAAGCAUAUCAAUAAGCGGAGGAAAAGAAACUAACAAGGAUUCCCCUAGUAACUGCGGAGUGAAGCGGGAAAAGCUCAAAUUUUGAAUCUGGCAGCUUCACGGCUGUCCGAAUUGUAAUCUAGAGAAGCGUUUUUCCUAGCUCUGGACCGUGUACAAGUCUCCUGGAAGGGAGCGUCCUAGAGGGUGAGAAUCCCGUCUUUGACACGGAUAUCAGUGGCAUGUGUGAUACGCUCUCGACGAGUCGAGUUGUUUGGGAAUGCAGCUCAAAUUGGGUGGUAAAUUCCAUCUAAAGCUAAAUACAGGCGAGAGACCGAUAGCGAACAAGUACCGUGAGGGAAAGAUGAAAAGGACUCUGAAAAGAGAGUUAAACAGUACGUGAAAUUGCUGAAAGGGAAACGCUCGAUGUCAGUCGCGUUGGCUGGGGAUCAACCUUGCAUUCCUUGUGGGGUGUAUUUCCUGGUCGACGGGUCAGCAUCAGUUUCGAUCGUCAUACAAGGGUGGGGGGAAUGUGGCACUCUUAGGAGUGUGUUAUAGCCUUCUGUCGUAUGUGGCGGUGGGGACUGAGGAACUCGGCACGGCCUCUGGCUUGUGCUUAGGAUGCUGGCAUAAUGGCCUUGAGCGACCCGUCUUGAAACACGGACCAAGGAGUCUAACAUGCUUGCGAGUGUUUGGGUGGAAAACCCAUGCGCGGGAAUGAAAGUGAAAGUUGAGAUCUCUGUCAUGGAGAGCAUCGACGCCCGGACCGAAGUCUGCUGACGAUGGGAUCUGCGGUAGAGCACGCAUGUUAGGACCCGAAAGAUGGUGAACUAUGCCUGAAUAGGGGUGAAGCCAGAGGAAACUCUGGUGGAGGCUCGUAGCGAUUCUGACGUCAAA
rnacentral:rRNA from 1 species